CAUGUAAAAACAUACAGAAUUUAUCUAAAGUAUAAAUUAUUUUGAAUUAACUAUAUAUCCAACUUUUCAAAAUUUUAAUUUUAUAAUUCAACUUUUCAGUUUGUUCGAUUUGAAUCCGUCAACAGCACUAUGACUUUAAAUUUAAGUUAAUUACUUAUUUUAAUAAAGUAUAUAUAGUUGCGAGAAGUUUAUAAAGUAUAUUAAUCAAAGAUGUAAAGAUAAACGAUGAAUUUAAAAUUUGAAGUUAAAGUUUUGUCGGCUGACGUGAAUCAAUUAAACAAAUUGAAAGAAUGAAUACUAAAAUCAAAAUUUCGAAAGGGUGAAUAGCCGAUUCUCUAUGUCCCUACCGUUUCAGUAUGUAGAAAGUGUGUUAUCAGUAGGGAUGUAAAUAGAUAUGAAUAUCCAAAUUUUAUCCGAAUCCAAACCCGAACAGAGCGGAUUUUAUCCGCUGUAAAUGGAUAUGGAUUCAGGAGUGGGCUGGUAUGCUUAUGGAAGCACGGAGCCUUCCGUGCUUGCAAGUCGUUUUCGAUGUUCGGACUUUCGAAUUGACGAUCGACUCCGUUAGACUUGAUCUAGAGUAUUUGAAGUACCUAGAAAAUAAAUUUUGUGAUUUUUCGAUAUCAUUUGCCUAGUGAUCAAAUGGGCUCAAAAUCAAUAAUUUUAAUGACCGUGGUGAGCCGUUUGCAAGUUUAACGGUGUAGAAAUAUCCAAAUCACUUGAAAUUUUGAUAGAAAAUUCUUUAUACAUACUAUAUAAAAUAAGAUUAAUAUCUUUGAUCAAAAUUUUUAAUGUCAUGUCAUCACAUUUUGUGAGAUUUUUAUUUUCAGCCGUUGAUUUUGAGCCUCUUCGAUCACUAGGCAAAUGAUAUCGAAAAAUCGCAAAAUUUAUUUUCUAGGUACUUCAAAUACUCUAGAUCAAGUCUAAUGGAGCCGAUCGUCGAUUCGAAAAUCCUAACAUCGAAAACAACUUGGAAGCACGGAGUGCUCCAUGCUUCCAUAAGCAUACUAGCUAUACUCAUGGAUUCAGAUAUGGAUAUUAAAAAAAACAAUUCGACGGAUGCGGGUUCGGAUAUGGAUAUUUUAAAAACAUUCGAACCCAAACUCGAACCCGACCCAAACCCGAACAAAUUUAAUAUAAUAUAAUAUAUAAAAAAAUUCAAACCAUGCCAAAAAAAUACUUACACUUUUAUAAUCUAAACCAAAAUACGAAUUAGGCUGGAAUACUAUUAAUAGUAAAACGCUCUUUUUGCUAUCAAGUUUUUAACCUUUGGAUGAAAAAUUGUAGGGUCGGGAUGAUAUUAGUCGGUUAGAGCUGAGUGGUCCCCCUAGGGUUGAGUGGUCCCCACUAGGUUAUAGUAUUUAAUCCAAUGGUUAGAAAUAAUGAAAUGAGUUGAUCCAAAGGCUAAAAAACUGGUAGCAACAAUGGAAUUUUGCUACUAAUAAUAGCCCAGUCGAACUCACCAAAAUACAUAUAUCUUUAUAAUCUAAAACUUAAUAUUCAAAAAUUAAAACCUUCCCUACACCAAUCGCUAGCUCUUUCGGGUUCGGGUUUCAGAUUUUUGAUCGGGUUCGAAUUUGAAUAUGAAUUUUUAAAAUCCGUUUGGUUCGAAUUUCGGAUUUGAUAGUCGAGUUCGGAUUCGAAUUUUUAAAAAUCCGCCCCGAAUCCGACCUGUUGACAUCCCUAGUUAUCGUGUUAAUAAAAUAUAGAAUAGAUGAAGACAGAUAGAAAUGUGUCGCACGAGCAUGCAGAUAAAUAACAUGCAUGCGGAAAAUAAUUAUAUAUUUCUUUUGAAGUACGAACGUGCAUGCUAAAGUCAAAUAAACCAAAAACUUUGAAAUUUUUGUACAUGGAACUUGAGAAAUCGGGCUUUUUUUGCAUUUAACCCCCGACAAAUUUUUAUUUUAAAAAUAGUCUUAUUAAAAUUUAAUUUGCAAAAAUGGCUCUAUGUCUACCACGUAGGCGCCACGUCAGCGCCAUCCGGGCGGGGCUGGGAGCGAUAGUUAAGUUAAACACGGUGAACCAUUCACCGUGUAUAAAUACGGUGAAUAGUUCACUGUGUUUAGUACAUAUUUUUUAUAUAUUGAAAAGAAAAAUAGAGAAUUUGUAUUUCUUUUCUUCUCUUUUUCAAAAAUCCGAGUCCGAACCCGAAAAUCAAAUUAAAAUCCAAACCCGGAUCCGAACCCGACGGAUUUUAAAAAAUCAUACCCAUAUCCAUAUCCGACCAAAAACUCGAAACCCGAACCUGAACCCAGCGGGUUUUAAAAAUCUAUACCGUUGGAUGAAGAUUUAAAAAUAAAAAAUUAUUAAAUAUUUUAUAUAUUGUAUAAAUAAAUAAAAAUAAAUUUUAUAUAUAUAUAUAAUUUAUUCGGGUUUGGACUCGGAUAAUAUUUCGGAUAUCCAUAUCUAUUGACAUCCCUACUUUCUAUUCCUCUUUUCAAUAUAUAAAAAAUAUGUACUAAAUACGGUGAACCAUUCACCGUGUUUGAACACGGUGAAUGGUUCACGUGUUCAACUUAACAUACGAGCCCCGAUUCACCGUGUAUUACACAUGCUAUUUUAUUUAUAAUAAUAAUAAUAAUAAUAGUACUACUAGUGCUACUAAUAACAAUAUUUAUUUUUAUUACUAUUAUUAUAAAUUUAAAAAUAAAUAAAUCAUCAGCAUGAGCAUCAGCAUCAUUAUUAUUAUUAUUACCUAAAUAUAAGGAUGAUUAUAUGUUUCUCUUACAUUAAUUAUUUUUAAUUAACUAGAUACAAGCUAUAAAUAAUGUAAAAUAAUAUAUUUUAACAUUGUAUAUGUAUUACACAUGCUAUUUUAUUUAUAAUAUAAAUUUAAAAAUAAAUGAAUCAUCAUCAUCAGCAUCAGCAUCAUUAUUAUUAUUAUUAUUAUUAUUAUUAUUACCUAAAUAUAAGGAUGAUUAUAUGUUUCUCUUACAUUAAUUAUUUUUAAUUAACUAGAUACAAGCAUGAGAAUAGCCUCUCUUUUUUUUCACUAAAACGAUAGAAUAGUUGUUUCUGGAUUAAUUAUAUAUUUUACAAUUAUCUAGAAUAAUUUCUAGUUUGACCAGAGUAGUUGUCCCGACCCAUUUUUUAGGGCGUUUGGCGGAAUAGCGGAGAUAAAUUGUAUUGUCCCCGGUUUAUUUCCAUAUCAAACAGAGCCAUAGAGGUUUGGAACCAUAAGUCUUGAUGGAAUUGAAUUUAUUUAAUUGAUUAAUAAUUCAACUACCAUGCACAUGGUUGAUUUAAUGAGACUAUUGUUCUUUUUUUUUGGUUUAAAAUAAAAUAGAUUUAGUUAGUGUCUAUUUAAAACAAGACAGAGAUUUAUUUAUAUAUAUUAAGUGCUAUUAGGUUUUGCAAAUGAUAUAAAGAUAUGUUCUAAGCUACAAUUUUAUGCAUUAAUGUAAGGAAAUAAUAUGACUCGAAUUUUAGAAAAUUUUUCGAAAAAAUAAACUCAACUUCAAUAUUUUCCUCUCAUUAGACUCAAUGUAGAUAUUGCCUUUGAGAGAUUUGGAAAUAACAAAAUGACAAUUAUUAGUCAUUUUCAUAAUAAAAUUAUCUUUAUAUCUUUUUCUUAGGGGCAUUUAUUUUCAUGAUAACUCACUGAAUCAUAUAAAUAUUAUUAUAUAUUAUUAUCUGUGAUCAACCAAAUUCGAACCCGAUCUGAAUCUGACCCGAUUCGACCCAAUCGGCAGGUCCAUAACUAGGAUAUUUUUAGUUCUCCUUUCUCAAUCAAGAGAUUUGUUCUUCUCAAGCCUUGUAAUAGUAGAAUUGGAUACAUUUCUUUUCAUCUACAGUUUGUAGCUAAGCAAAAGAUGUGAUCUUACACAUAAGGAUCUCAACUGUGAUUUGGCCCAAUCCAGCCUUUGCAACGUAGCCGCUUCAUAAAUUACUAGUGAAGGCCCGCGCUUCGCGGUGGGAAAUUUGCGUAAUUUUUAAAAUAUUUUGAACAAUUUUUUUUAAUUUUAAAUUAAAUAUAAAAAUUAUAUAUAGUAAAUAAAUAUAUAUUUAUAAAUAAAAUUAGAUAUAUAUAAAUUAGAUUUGAAAUUUAUAUAUAAAAUAUAAAAUUAGUUGUAAUUCUUCGUCUUCUUCUCUUCUUCUCUCUCUCUUUACUCCUCUGACUUCUUCUUCUUUCUUCUUCUUUCUCACUCAUCUCUUCCCUCUCUCCUCUCCCACCCCUCGUUCCCCGUCGGUGAGUACGCGCUCGCCGCCUCAAGCGCGCCGCUGCCGCAGAGCCCAUCCGCAUGCACCGCUGGCGUGGCGCCAUGCGCCCCGCGGCAGCACUGCUUGGCGAGCUCUGCUCCCCCAGGCAAUUGCGUCACGCCCGGGCUCGGCUCAUUGCUGCCGCCCGCACCUUCGCUCCGCUCAUGCUGCCGCCCGCUGGCGGAGGUGGGGGGUGGAGAAGGGGGGAGAGACGGGGGAGGGGAAAGGAGGAGGUGGGAGGUGGAGAGAAGCCGGGUCGGGGUGUGAGGAGAGAGUAAAGGGAUUGAGGAGGGGGACCUGAAUGUCGGUAGCGCGGGUCGGAGAACCUGGGUGACCGCACCGCCUCGGCUGCGCGCGGUCGCCCCGCGUGGAGGUGGGAUCAGGGGGGGUGGGGGGGGGGAGGGUAGGGGGAGGGGAAGAGGAGAAAAUGAGAGAGGGGGAUGGGGGGGGGGGCGCUAGGGAGAGAGAGGUAAAGAGAGUGAGAGAAGGGCGGGGGGGCAGGUUGGGGUGCUCCCUCUCUCUCUGUCUGCUCUCUCUCUAUCUCUCUCUCCCUCUCGCUCUCUGUCUGCUCUCUCUCCCUCUCUCUCCCUCUCUCUCUAUCUGCUCUCUGUGGGUCCUGCCGAAGGCCCCCGCCAAACGCGGGGAGGCCCCCCUGGUGCUCGGCGGGCGCACAUGGUAGGCCCCUCCCCUCUCUCUCCCUUUCUCUCUCUCUCUCUUUCUCUCUCCUUCUACUCUGCUCUCUCUCUCUUCCUCUGUUCUCUCUCUCUCCCCCUCUCUCUGUAUGCUCUCUCUCUCUCCUCGGGCAGAGCUGAGCAGAGGGGGGGAUCGCUGAGGAGAUGACGCGUGGCGGGUUUAGGGUUCGCCUUUUAUUAUAUGUAUAGAUAGUAUGCGAAAAUUAUGCCCGCGAACUGCUCUGAGACUCAUCAUUGAAUCGUUGAUACUAACCACAAUUCCAAAAGUUUGGAAAUGUGUUGGCGGCAAAAAUCCGGCCCAAAGAAGUUCUCUUUUUUUAAUCAAUUCGGGCUUUUCGAAUUAUGGUUAGUGUCAACUAUGACACCCCAAUAGUCACAUAUCAGAUAAUGUCGGAGAGUAAGAUAGGCUUAUAAGUGAUGGACAUACUAGUAAUAAUAAUUGGGUUUAAGCAUUUUGAGUCAGUGAUUUUGGCCCAACAAAUUAUUGUUGCUAGCGAUUCCAGUCGUUACAUUUGGUGUCAGAGCCAAUCACUAGCCGGAAGUGUGUGAUAAGUCUCGGCUGAGCCAGAGUUUGAAUAGCAGGCCGUGCGAGCAUCUGAAUGACAAUAAUAGCGAGACAAGUCUUACUUCGCUUAAUGAUCUUGGGCUAUGUAUCUGAUGGGCUGACGAGGAAGUCAGGCCCAACCGAAAAUAUAUGAUGAGUCUGAGCUGAGCUAGAGUCUGAAUGACAAGGUAGUCAAGAUCUAAAAAUGAUAGGCUAUGUCAGGGUCUGAAUGACAACGCUGGAGAGACAAGUCUCAUAUCACCUGGUGAUUUUGAACUAUAUGUAUGAUAGGCUGACAAAAACAUCACGGUCUAAACAGGAGGAGUUUGUGACACCUAAAUAGUCCCACAUCGAAAAAUAUGGGAGAGUGAUGCGCUUAUAACUGACAAAGACACUAUUAAUAAUAAUUGAGUUUAGCAUUUUAAGCCGGUGAUUUGAAUCCAACGAAUUAUUAUUUCUUGCGAAACGGAUCAUUAUAAAAAGAAAGAAAGAUUCGGAUCAUUAUAAAAAGAAAGGUUAAUUGUAUACACGUCCCUGUAAACACAGUGAAUGCAGAUAUAUCCCUUAAAGUUCAACUUUCAUAAGUUGUCCCUACAAAAGUUCUAAUGUAUUCAGAUAUGUCCCUUAGAUUAAGAUCCGUUAGAAAACUGUUAUUUUUUACAGUAUGCUCGUGAAAUGACAUUUUUACUCUCACAAAUAUGUCCCUCCAAAAGCACAUUUGCAGAAAUGACCUUUCAAUUUUUACCCUCUUCUUCUUUCUCUUUCUCUUCGGGCCGCAGGAGCGGACGGCGACAGCGGCGGAUCAUCGACGACGACAACAAAGAAGAAGAAGGAGGAGGCAGCGGAGGCCGUUGUCGGCCAGCGACACCGCCGGGGAUGGCCCGUGGAAGCGGACGGCGGCGGCGGCAACGAUCGGAUCAUUGACGACGACGACAAAGAAGAAAAAGGAGGAGAAGAGGAGGAUACGAAGAAGAAGAAGAAGAAGGAGGAGGCGGCGAAGGCCAUUGUUUGGCCUUCUCCGUGCUUACCUCAACCGGCGGCGCCACCGGGGAUGGCGAGCUCAGCGCCGAUCUCCCACGAGGAGCACCGCCCGAUCUCCCACGAGGAGCACCGUCGACAUGGCCUCCAUCGGCCGCUUCCUCUGCGACCGCAACUCCUUCUCCGUCGCAAUCACCCGCCGCAUCUCUUCCCUCGCCGGCGACGAAGAAGAGGGAAGAGGAAGAGGGAGAGGAAGAAGAAUGAGGUAAAAUUAUCAAUUCACUUUAUUAAUUAAUCAUGAUUAAGUAUUUUAACCGUAGUUAACUAAAUUUAUUUAACGGAAACUAACGGCAGGAAUAUAUCUAAAUACAUUAUGACUUUUACAGGGAUAACUUAUGAAAGUUGAAACUUUGCAGAAAUAUAUCUGUAAUUUACCAUGUUUGCAGGGAUGUGUAUGCAAUUAACCCUAAAAAGAAAGAUGUAAUCUUAGGUUCCCUAUAUGAGUGUGAUAUUUGAAUGAAGUGUAGGAAAAAAAUUCAAAUGGAGUACAGAGCACAAUAAUAAUAAGCACAAAAAAAAAAAAAAAACACAAUAAUUGUACAAUCAAGAACUCCAAAAUUUACGUAGUUCAUCUUAAAGCCUACGUCCACGGAGACCAGAGUAAGAAGAAGAUUUAUUAUAAAAUAGUUAAUUAAACGUAUAAGAUCUUUGCAGGCAUUAACUAAAAGAGAGCAAGAUCUUCACAAGCUUUGCACCAACGAAGCCACUACAUACCGAAUAGCAGAUACAUUCAUAUAAAGUUUGAUUUUUCAUAUUUAUCCAUACAAAAGUCCUAAAAUUUUCAAGUAUACCCUUUCUAUUAUGAUCCAUUAGAAAAAUAUAGUUAAUCAUAAAUAAAAUAUUCAAUCCUAAUUAGUAAAUGAGGUAAAUUAACAUUUUUAUCCCGCUUAUAUUAUUUGUGAUGGCAGAAAGAAAAAAAAAAAAAAAAAAAAAAAAAAGAUAGCCGUUGAAAAGUUUUUGAAAAAUAUUUCUGCUUAAUUCUAAUAGUUGAGGCUUUUGGAGAGACAUACUUGUGAGGUCAAAAAGGUAAUUUUACCCUUUUUUCAUUAAAAAAUAAGCAGUGCUCUAAUAGUAACAAACCAGAUGGGCAAAUAUGAAUACCACUGAACUUUUACAGGAAUAAAUAUAAAUAGUUGAACUUUGUAGGGAUAUAUUUGCUAUCCUAUAUGUUUACAGGGAGUUGUAUGAAAUUAACCCUUUUUUGUGAACAAAAUAGAAUGUUUUUUUUUGGGUGGUCAUUUUACACUCUCAUCUCUAAAAAAAAGAGUCAAUUUAGUUUAUUUUGAAUAAGGUUAAAAGAUUACAUUUCACAAUAAAAUAAGUUAUAUUAGAAUUAGCACCAAAACCAUGUCAAGUGGCAAUUUCUAAUACUAGUAACAGCAUUUUUUUUACGGCGGAGACUUAAUUGAAAUGUAUCCUACACAGAUCAGGGACCAAAUUGCAAGAAGAAAAAAACGUAGAGACGAAAGUAAAAAAUUGAAAAAGAUCAGGGAGCAAUGUGAAUUAUUCGUUAGGACAAGCCCAAUAGGCCUUAACUUGUUUAAUUCAGCCCAAUAACCUAUUAGACCUGAGCGGGGGGCAACAUACGACCCGACCCGACCCGACCCAACACAACCCGACCCGGUUGACCAACUUGGUCCGGUCCAGAAAAUAACCGGAUCCGGGCAAAAAUAACUGGAUUCGGAAAAAUUACUUCGUGCGGAUUAAAAUCCUGAUCGGAUACUUAAAUAUCUAAUUUAAAUUUAUUAUGUUGAUAUAUGAAAUAUCUCCGCGGUUAUGGUAUUUUCUUUCUGUAUAAACAAAUUUUGAAUUUAUUAUAUUUUUUUCAUUUUAAAAAACUUUGGUUUAAAAGCGAAUCCAAGGUACUGCAUGCGGUCGGAUCCGAACAUCCGAUUUUAAGCCGGGUAUGGAUGGAUCCAGAUUCGAUAUGUUGGCCGAAAUCCGGGUCCGAGUUAGAUUCAUUAUCCGUAACGAUUUUAAGCAGUUAAAAAAGCUGGCUAAAAAUGACAAAGCAUAUAUAUAUUCAACUUAUUUUGAUAUUAAAAAAAGUAUAUAAAAAUAACAAAAAAUAUAAUUAAAAAUAAUUUGAUAGAAUCUUUCGAUGAAUAUAUCAUAUUGAUUCAUUUUAUAUUUUUUUUAUUAUCUAACCAAUAUCUAUUAAUAAAGUUAUUAGAUUUUGUCUAAAAUAAUAGAUUACUUAAUAUUACCAUAGAGAAUUGGCGAGAAAAAAAAAUAGUUUAGUAUAUAUAUAUAUAUAUAUAUAUAUAUAUAUAUAUAUAUAUAUAUAUAUAUAUAUAUAUAUAUAUAUAUAUAUAGUGUAGAGAUUAAUAAAAUAUAAUAAUAAUAAUAAAAAUAAUAAUGUGUUUGACCAAAAAAAUAAUAUAAUAUAACAAAUGAAAAUUAUACGUAAAGUGUAGUGGAUUUGCAAAAAGGCCCACAAACAAUCUCAAUUUUUAAAAAAGCCCAUGGGCCUUGAACAUGAACACACACUUAGUUGUCACCAACGGCUCCGAUCAAAUCAGUUCCAAAAAUCUCAACACCGGUGAUGCGAUCUCAGCCGUCCAUUUCCUGCCCUUAAGCGGUUAUUGUGUACUUCCUCUUUUCGCUUCUCGUACGGAGCUCCACAGAGUGCGUAGAGAGGGGUGAGUAUUUUUUUUUGUUUUAUCAAUUUAAUUAAAUAAAAUUUGUAUUCAUUUUGUCUUUGUGUAAAUUUUGGAUUAAUUUUGUUGAACAUUUGCUUUUCUUUCUCCAAUUUUUUUUAAGCUUAUUUUUUGGUGUAUUUUUUGGGGUCACGCUUUUGAUUAUAAAAUAGAAGGAAGAGAAAUUUGUUGCACAUAUAAAAAAAAAAAAUUAUGAUAAAUUCAUAAUUGUUUAUAUUCCUCGCAUUGUGAACGAAUUUAGGAGCCGUUUGGUUGGAUGUAAUUGUAAAUGUAGUUGUAGCUGCACUGGAGCAGUUAUAACUGCGUGUACAUUCAAAUUCGAUAUUUAUUUUGAUGUAUUUGAAUUCAACUGCUGCUACAGUUGUAAUUGCAACCGUAUAUAUAAAAUAAUAAAAAUCCGUAAAUAUACUUUUUCAACCGCAUGCAACCAAAUAAAGCAUUUAUACCUGUAGCAUUUUCUACUAUAUCUAAUCAAACAAGUUGCAUGUAAUUAUAAUUGUUGUGUUUUCAACUACACUGCAUUUAUAAUUACGUCAAACCAAACGACCUAUAGUGUAGUUGGAUACAUAUGCAGUUGAAAAUACAGCUGUUUUAAUUACAUGCAUCUUGUUUCGUUAAAUAUAGUAGAAAUUAUCGCAAUUAUGAAUAACUUAUCGGUUACAUGCAGUUGAAAAGUGAAUUUACAAAAUUUUAUCAUAUAUGGGGUGGUGAGAUUACCCUCUACGUAGGGAAUAAAAAAUUUACAUUUUGAAAGGUUAUUAAAGAGGUAAGAUUAUCUUUUUGUUUAAAGUUACGCUCUUCAACUGCUUCGAUUUGUCUUGCGGCCAAGUUGAGCGUAGUUUCAGCCGUGCAGUUGAGCCUCUUCGUGUAGUUUCAAUUGCAACAGUUGAAUGCAAAUGCAUCAAAUCAAACAGCAAAUUUGGACUUGCAUGAUUAGGGUGAACUAUAGGAUUCAUUCAUACAGCCAUAAUAGAUACAUUGUUAUGUUUUUCGCAGUAGAUUACGAUUCCAGGAAGAGAUUUUACAAAUUGGCGGCGAGUCGCUUUGUUUACUUACUGUGCUUUUACGGUUAAAGAUUCAAUUUGGUAGACGAAGCGCCACCGGAGAUCAAUCAGCGAGCUGUUGAGUCGAUACAGUUAAGAACUGCGUAGUUUUGUCACGAUCAGCACGAGAGUUUAGCUGUCGACAUGUUUUGUCGAUGCUCAGUCGUAUUAUUCUCGAUUAGUAUCUUUCUUGCGUACUUUUUCUGAUGUCAGUCAUGGAGCACUCGCAUCUCGCGGACUUGAGUGAUAAAGAGACUGCAAUUGAAAAGGCGGUCGAGGGUGCAACUUUCGGACUAGCUGUCGGAACAGUAUGGGGCACAGUUGCUGCUUUGCUAUCUGACCACCCUGCAUUGGAACAAAAUGUUGCUCAUCCUGAUCUGGUUAGAACCCUAAGGGCUUGCGGAAACUACGGACUCUCCUUUGCCUCUCUAGGAGGUGUAUAUUCAGGCGUCGAUCGGCUUCUGGAGAGACGGAGGAUGAAAAAGGACUUCGUUAACGGUGCUGUCGGUGCUUUCGCUGCAGGAGCAACUGUUUUUGGUCUCAGAGGUACAAAUUUCCAUCCUUCCUUGCGCCUUUAUCGGGCGUAUAAGUAAACUUAGUACAAAUUCAGUUCGCAAAAAGUGAUUAUUAUGAAUAUUGCUGAGGUGAUUGUACUUAUGCUAGAUUUAGUUCGCGUCGCCUUUUUUGGUUUAGGCCAUGUAUAGCUUUAAUGUUCACUUCAUGAUUCUUCUUUGGUGUCCGAAAAACUAGCUAAAAUUCCAUGCCCUCACAUUUUCGCAAACAAUCAAAGAUCGAAACAAAAACAAGAACAUUUAUCUGAAAUGAUGGGGCUUUUAAAUUUUAGGUAAGAAACCCAUAGAAUACAAUAUAUCUGAACAUUUUUUCUUCUCUUUCUCGCAAUAUAUUGUAAUUUAUUUCGUGAAUGCUGCUACUGUCGGUAUCAGAACCGUAGAACCGAACUUUACCUUCGCUAAAUUGAUUUCUCUUUAUACAUUCUUUGUUUUGCGAUUUUAAAAGUUCAGUAAAUGGUUUCUUACUUCUCUGCUUAAAUCCUUUCGAGUCGAAAAUAGUAAGUUGCACAACUACUGCAUGGUAUGGGUGCGCAGAUCGAGCUCUCAAUUCGCAAAAUGAAUUGAGACACAGAAAUAGUUAACAUUUUUCAAAACCGGGUGUUGUUUUCCCGCGCUUCUGAAUCUCUUUCCCUCUCUCUUUGGAGUUUAGAUGUUUUAAAACAACAAGUAUUUCCUCUGUAUCUCUUUUCCUCAUUCGGUCGGUAUCUAUCACAAUAUGAAGAUAUUGUUUGCUAAUUUACAGGGAGGAGCAUCUCCGCCGAUGUCGUCGCAGGAUCAGCUCUUGCUGUGACUUCUAUGGUGAUGGAUUUUAGUGGCUUUUAAAGCAUGUUUAGUGCAAAGAGUGAUUCUUCUGAGAGAAAAGCCGUUGCCGUCGUCGUCGCCGUCGAAACACAAUUAUAAUUAGAUAGUAGUGCUACUGCUUUCACUGGUGAUUGAUUUUAUAGUGAUUGUGAAUUACUUCAAUCCAUUUCUGAGCAUUUGAGCUGCCAUAUGUUUACUCUUGAGCUUUUGAUCACAAGCUAUUUGAGGAAAAGGUUUCAUUGAGUUCCUGGAGUAGCUUUCUGUUGCAGCAGAAGUAGAAAGUUGUCUGCCCCCAAAUUGUUACUAAAUUUCUCUUAUUAGCUUUCUGUUGUAGCAAAAGUAGAGCUGCAUGUCACAGACUUAAGCAAAAUCACUUGUCUAGUCCAUGCGACAUUCGCCUUUCUUCACAAAGUGAGCAAAGCAAGCCUACCUCUCUACUCGCUAAGUUAGGACCUAUCUGCCCUAAACUAAGUAUAAGAAAGAAAGAGUUGAAAAAAAAAAAGGAGUGUUGUAUAUUGAUUGAGAGAAGAGUUUACAACUAAUUUUCUAAGGAGAGAUGUUGGAGGCCACAACCUUAUAUAGGUCACACUUAUCACCCAAGUUACAAAUGAAAAAGCAUCAAGUGGCGCAUAACUACAAGGUAAAAAGAGGGACUACAAACUCUCAAGAGACCCAAGUUCGAAUCCUAGUUGUUUCACAUUUCUAGCUAAGUUUAUUUCUAAAUGAAAUAAACGAAGCGGGUAGCGUGCUACCUAUCUCUCAAAAAAAAAAAAAAAAAAAAAAAAAACUCUCAAGAGACUAUACUUAUUGCCCUCCUAGAAAUUCUAAGGAACUUUUGACCCUUCGGCAUCCGCGUCAUCAAUCUUGAAACCCGCAUAGAAACUUCAAGAAUGCCUCAGCAAAAUCUCCGACAGAUAUAGAUAUGGAUAGGAUAUUAUUCGAAAAUAUCAAUAUUUGUAUUUGAUAAUAUUCGGAUCUGGUUGGAUACGGAUAUGGAUAUGAUUUUAGAGAGUUAAAUUUUUUUGGAUAUCCAAAAACAACAGAUAUAGAUAUGGAUAUCUGAACUUUAGUAUUAUUAUUUUUAUAUUCUUUAUAUUUUUGGAUCCGCCCGGUCCAAUUUUGCCUGCUCGGCCGCCCGCCCGCCCGGUCCCGCCAAAUCCUCUUCCUCCAUAGUCAAUCUUUCUUUGUCUACUCUAAUUCAUUACCAAUUAAAGUACGGAAGGAUGAUUAAUACAUGAAAUUAUAAAGUGAUUUUUUGUAUUAUUCGAUUAUUUUAUAAUGAGUUAUAUAUUAAAAUUAUGUAUUUUAUAUAUAAAGAAAUAUAGUUAGAAAACAAGAUAGAAAAAUAAAAUUUUUUUUUGUAUAUAUAUAUUAGUAUAUAUAUUAUUAUUUGAAUACAUAUCUGAACCAUAUUUGAAUUCGAAAAAAUAUUUGAUCAGAUCCGAAUCCGUUUUUAGUGGAUAUGAUAAUAAAAAUUUAACAUCCCAUAUAUAUCCGCAUCCGAAUUCGUAUCUGAAAAAAUAAAUAUAUGGAUGCGGAUAUGGUUUCGUCAAAUAUCCUAGAUCCGUUUUCACCCCUACUUAUAAGGAUAAUUUUUGAUUUUUUAUUGCUAAUAAUUAUAUACUCCUAUACUCUUUUUAUGUGAAUAUUUUAUUUUAAAAAAAAUUAAAAAAAUUUAGCAGCAUUAGAGAACGAGUAGGACCGGCCCGGUUCAGCCGAUUCGCUCCGGUUCGUGCCGGCUCAAUCCGGUUCAGUCUCAGGCGCCGAGUAUAAAAUGACUAUAAUGCCCUCGCCCCGGCUCCCACCAUCUCGACCCAUCCAGAACGCGCCGCUCCUACACGUGGCGCUCUGCCAUUUGCUGCAGGGAUUUUCUCGUGGGACCCACUUCUCCUAUAGCGCCGAUGGCGCGCGGAGUACACGCUUCGUCCCGACUCUUCGCCUAAACCCUAACCCUAACCCUAACCCUAAAAAAUGGCCCUUGUCGGAUUGUGUACGGCCUCCUCUCCUCCGAGGUAAUUAAUUUAAUCAAAGCGCUCCUUUUGUUUUCCUUUUUUUAAAUUUUUUACCAUUCGUUCUUCUCUGUUCUUGCAAUUUGAGUGUAAAAGCUGUGAUUUUUAUAGCUUUUUUUCCCAUCUAAAUUCAUCUAGAAUUGUCAAUUUUGCAGCUUUCGAAUUACAAAAUGGCUAUGGAAACCUAAUUUGUGUGUCUAGGGCUAGAACACCAUAGUUUUGGAUAAAUUAGGGUUUCCUUGGAGCUAAUUUUAGGUUAAUUGUGAAUUUUUAUGUGCUUAAUUAGACUCAUUGUGGCCAUUUUUAAUUUGUAGUAGGAAUGCUGAAUUUGAAUCUGAAUUUGAAUUUUAUAUACUCGAGGAAUCCAAUUUUGAAUUUAUAAUUUAUUUCUUUUUAGCAGUCACCUCGAGUAGAACGUUUGACGAAUAGAAGAGUUUGAAAUUCUGAGGCUCAGAAGCAGAAGCAGCAAUUUGGUGCUUCUGUUUUUUAGGGUUUAGUUAUAGUGCUUCUCCUAACAGUGUUAUUUAACCAGUACUUCAUUAAACAACACUACACCCUACAGUCGGACCAAACGUAAGUAAAUAUCAAAUUUAUGCGAUUAGAAAGUUUGUUUAACCUCAAAUAGGCGAAUUCAAAUAUUUUGCUACCCCAGGGUCUCUUGGGCAGCUUUUAGAAUCGACUACCCGAGAGCUGUUAACAGCAAGCCAUGUAGAAAGAGAAUUUCAGUAAUUCGAGCCGAAGUGAAUUUCGUGAGCGGAGACGAAGCGAAGAGGCUCGUCGACGAGGAGGGAUACACCGUGUUGGACGUCCGGGACAAAACUCAGUUCGAUCGCGCUCACAUCAAGUCGUGCCACCACGUGCCCCUCUUCAUCGAGAACAAUGAUAACGAUUUAGGUAUCGGUUUAGCUUCUUUUUUAACUUUCCGUCGCGAGCUCUAUGUUGAGGUUGGUAAUUACGGUUUGAGCUCAAAGAUUUAAUGGCCGACAGGGACGAUAGUGAAGCGGACGGUGCACAACAACUUUGCGGGGUUGUUCUUCGGCCUUUCGUUCACCAAACUGAAUCCCGAUUUCGUCAAAUCGGUGAAGGAGAAGUUCUCUCCCGAUAGUAAACUGUUAGUCGUGUGCCAGGAAGGAUUGAGGUUGGCGAAUGCCUCCGUUUUUCUUUGUUCAUGAUGAUUUUCUUCUCAGUUUCGCGCUAUUUUCCGCUAUCGAUGAGAACUAUGUUCGCUCUAGCAUUCUCUGCUAUAACAGCUGAACCUCAUGCCGCGAGCAUCGAAUCGAACACUUUCAAUUGAAUGCCGAUUCUGCUAAACCGUAAACACGGUUUCCAUGCGAUUUUGCUUGUAAUGUAGCCGAAAUAGUUUACUUUGUAAUGGAGGAGUUGUUUGAUACUGAAGGUCCACUGCAGCUGCGAAUAGGCUCGACAGAGAAGGUUUCGAAAACCUAGCUUGCAUAACAUCGGGCCUUCAAUCGCUCAAACCGGGUCAGUUUUAGCAACUGUAGUUACACAAAAUCGUCGUAAUUGUGGUUACGGUAAUUACGUUUCGUGUAUGCAGGUACGUUUGAUUCGGAAGGUGCUACCGAGCUCCAAAACGCGGGAAAGGCCGGUCUAGUGACCGUCCAGGGGAAAAUUUCUGCGGUACUCGGGACCGUAUUGAUAUGUAAGUUUAUCGUUUUAAUUGCGACUUUAACAUGCUUUAUUCAUGGAUAGAAAAGAUGAAAAAAAAAACCAACUUUUUUGUUUUCUUUUUGCUUAUUUUUCUGUGUCGAGGGUCGUCUCGUCCUCGUACUUAACAUUCUUUCUGUUUGAUCCUCAUCUUCAGGUGCGUUUCUUUUUAUCACAUUUUUCCCGGAACAGGCCGAAAAGAUACUUCAAAUGAGCCCCGCGAGAUAGCAGUCGGAAUUUUUUCCGCUUACAUGUUGUUGUGUCAUUCAACUUUGUGUUUCGAGGUUUCGCAUUGUUAGCUAUUCUUGGAGGCCACAGAUUCUUUCUCAGGUAGAGAAAUGAAGUAGCCUAAUAUAUUCCAGUUUUUGGAAAUAUGAGAACUCUCCUCGUUGAAUAUAAAUGUUAACAACAUCGUUCUCUGGUAGCUUAAGCUCUGAUGGAUAAACGAUUGUUUCAUAUAAUUAAAUGUAUUAUCAGAGCAGAAUGUUCUGAUUUCGGAUAGUAUUGAAUAUAAAUAUUAAAAUACUAUUCACUAAUAGCUUAAGCUGUUGAAAGAUAAAACGGCCGUUUCAUACAAUUUAUCAUACCUAAAAUGGCCUGUAUCUUAUCUUGUUUUGCACAUUGGCACAAUGUUAUCUCUUAUAUAAUCACACACAAGCAUUUUAAUACAUACACAAGCAUUUUCAUUGUAUUAAUUUGAUGCAGCAGUACUACAUGUUAAAUUCCUAUAUGCCUCAAAAGGUGUCCUGUUAUUAAUUUUUUUUGCUUUUUUUUUUUUUUUUUCUUUUGGGUGCAGGAUAGAGACAAUAUUACUAGAGAAAGAUGAAAGAUCAAUGGAGAUUAGGUUUUCUUGUAUAGCAUUUGUGAGAUGGGAGUGAAAUUAUGCCACACUUUUUUUUUGACCUUUGUUCAGCUUAAUAGUGUGUAUUAUUUUUCUUUUUUUUUUAAAAAAAUAUUAUUUUCAAUUUGUCCAACUGCUUCUUUUGUCUUAAGCUUGAAGUUUUAAAUUUUAAGUUUUUAAAUUUCAAAUUUGAGUUUUAAAAUCUAAAAAUUUAAUAUCUAAAUUUAAAUUUUGAAAUUUAUAAUAUGUAGCUGAAGUAUGAAAUUUAAAUAAAUUUAAAAUUUAAAAUCUGAAUUUAGAAUCAGAUUUUAAUAAGCAAGUUUUAAUUGUUUUUGACUUUGGACCUCUAAAAUUAAAAAACUGAUUCCAAGAAUCAGAAUCAAAUUUUAAAAAUUAAGUUACCAAACUAUUAUCUAUUGAAGGAAAAAUUACUUUUAUACUUGAAAUUACUUUUUAGAAUCUAAACCUUACACCAUCAUCUUACUGCAGUACAUGAAAUUACCCACUUGUGGAGAUGCUAUUGAAAACAAAAGAAAGGUAGGAUGGGAGCCAUUGUAGUAUGCAGAGGUUCUUAGGAAUUAUUAGUUCAUUAAUAAGAAUAUACACACAAGUGACAUGUUUAGUUGGUAACAAAUUUGCCAUUUCAAAUAUGAAAGUAUAGAGCAUACCUAGAACAUAACUAAAAUUGUUACCCUCAUGUUUCAUCUCUAUCUCUCUCUCUCUCUAUCUCUCUCUCUCUCUCUCAUCUAUUGAUCUUUGCCACAUAUAUAAGAGAGAUACCUUGUAUCAAUCCUCAGCAUAUAUAUAUAUAUAUAUAUAUAUAUAUAUAUAUAUANAUAUAUAUAUAUAUAAAGCCCACUUUUUUAAGCAAAAUAACAGGUGAUGGUAUUUGCAUUCAAAAUUUUGUGAGGUACUACAACAAACAUCCACCGGAAAGGAUUCACUAAACACACACACAAAAAAAAAGGCUCUUCUACCAUGGAAACAUAUCACCUUUGCAUUGCUCAAUCACUUGCUCAGCUUUUAGGAGGCUCCAAUGGGUCCGAUCUUUCGAAGUGUUCAUCUAACAUUCUCUCUAUGCUUUAUUGACACGGAUUUUUUGCCCUUCCAACACCUGAGAAGAAGAACAGGAACAAGAGAAAAAAAAAAACCGAUAAUAUACACCCUGGUUUUAGUUUCAUAUGAUAAUACUCUCAUUAGCCAAGAAAAGACAAAGCAAAGAUUGUAAGCUAUCAAGGGUCUCGAUGGAAGCGGAGAAAUGGAGAAACUAUGACGAAGGAGAGGAAUAUCCAUCGUGUUAUCGGGAGUAUCAACUAGCGCGUAAACAAUAAUGAACUCUACGGUGUAGGGCCCUUUUGGCCCAUGUGGAGCCUCUAUGAGAAUGUUGUUUGGAGAACAGCUGUUCGAAUAAGCGCAAAGGGGUGUUUGGUUAAGUUCCCCCAACAGCUUCUAGCUACAGCAGUAAUAGAAGCUUCAGAUAUCUUCUGCUUUUGAAGCUAAAAGCUCUUAAUAAUUUCCCAUCAUCGUAAAGCGCCGUCUCCUUUUUGUUUUUCUAAACACAUGACUAUUACUUCUCGAAGUAAAGAAGCUAUUUUAGAAGUCCAGUCGAAAGGCAAAAAAUAUAUAUAUUCGCAAUAACAACAACACCGGUGAUACCCAUGCAGGAAAUUGUUGGUAGAAGAAAGCUUUACUUACAGCAUUAUUGAAGGAAGAUAUAGCUGCUUCGACAUCUUCAUCAGAAGAAAAUGUGACGAAGCCAAAGCCGCUGGAUUUCGAGGUUCCUGGAACUCGAGAGACCUUUGCACUGACAACCUUUCCCUUCUCAGAAAAGAACUUGGUAAGUAGUUCUGAGGUUACCGUCUUUGCCAAAUUACCGACAUAAACCUUGUGCGGGCUAUCAAUAAAUGUAGAUUCUUCAACUUGGAGAAGGGAGAGAUCAACAGUCGCCAACGGCUUUUCCGUCACAUUAACUUUAAUUUUCCUACCACCAAUCUCCUGUUGAUAAAUGGUAAUUACGGUACGAUUGCUUCAAUAUAUGAAUAGGGACUAGAAUACCCGAUAAACCAAGAUUUCAGAUUACUAAAGAAGGGUUCAACUGGAUUACUGUGACUUACAGUGUCGUUAAGCUUCUCGAUAGCAGCAUUUGCAUCUUCUACUGAACUCAUAGUGACAAACGCAAAGCGCCGACUCCUACCAGAGUACUUGUCGUACAUAACCUGCAAAAGACAACACAGGACCAUUACAUGAUCACUUAGAAGAUUAACGAUUAGUUUGUUGUUAUCACUGAAUAUUGGUGAAGGAGUCACUACUUCUCUAAUCAAUUUUGACUCUUUAUCUCAUGCAACUGAAUGGCACAAUGCGUCGUCAUGUUCAUGUAGAACUUGUAAAAACAGGUAGAAGUAUGUUCAAUGAAACAAAGGAAGAUCAAAAUAAUGCUUAUAACCAAUUAUUGGAAGUCCACAACAUGAAUCCUUUUCCUUUGUUCCUUUCAUACUACGUCCAUUCUUAAACGAAGAGCUAUCAUUUCUUUUUUAAUAUUUUCUCUUCGUUUAGGAUGACCCUUUCCUCUUCUCUUACACAACUUGAAUUAAAUCAUUCAUCCCAACAACAUAUUAUCGCGACAAAGAAAACCAUAUUUAAAGUCUAGUUCAUUAACUCUAUCAUCGUUCACGAAUGCUAUUACUACCUGAUGUAUACAACUACUUUCUAUUCUACCUAUUCUACUAAUUUUGAAACCGAAUGCCUAAUAACUAGUUAACAUUCGCCUUUUGUAUAUGAAUUCGAACAAGCAAAGAACCCCACUAAUCCACCAAUCUCAAGCUCCCAAGUUCCAAAUUAGAAACCAAUUCUGUUCAACAUAUUUGAGAGUCUUAUGGAUCACAAAUUGAGAGGGUUUUUUAGCAAUUAAACGCGAAACUAUUCUCAACUAGCAAGCUAAAAUCCAAUUUUGAUACCAAACAUAGAUUUCAUUACAUGUUUCAGGGUCUCGUAGGUCAAAAUUUGAGGGUUUUUCAAGCAAUUAAGCAAGAAAUUGUUCUCAAGCAACAAGAAUAAAAACCAAUUUUGAUAGCAAAAAUAGAUUACAUUACCAAAAAAAAAAAAGGAAGAAGAAGCUUCUCUAAUUAGAGGUUCUUAUCAAUUAUAAUACCUCGGCUUUCUCUACGGAUCCGUGCUCCCCGAAAAUGCUCGCGAGCUCCUCGCUGGUGACCGUCCUGGGGAUGUUGCCCACGUAGAGCCGCCGCGCCCCCGCCGCCACCGUCUCCGCCUCCGCCGCCACCGCGGCGGAGGCGAGUAGGGUUUUGCUUCUGGUACUCCUAGGGUUUGCGACGGAGAAAGAGGGACCUAGGAUUCGGGGGCUCCAUGGGGCUCCGAGGGCACGGUAGGGGGAGAGGUCGGGAGUGCGGAUGAUGCGGCGGGGGUCGUUAGGGUUUCCGAAGAGCGUCGAGGAGAAUAACGAGGAGAUCGUCGCCAUUUUUGUGGUGUGUAGAGAGAGAGAGAGAGAGAGAGAGAGAGAGAGAGAGGGAACGUUAUCCUUUUAAAACGAUCGGAAAUGGUAGGGAUGGAAAAAUUUAUAGAAAGUCCUUGUACAAUCCUCAUAUUACACCUCGGAAACUAAAACUUUUGGGAAAAUUAGGGCUUUGGCCCUCAAAUUAUGUUCCCUGACCCUUUAAUCCCUAAAUUUUAAUUUAUUAUAGUUUUUGGCCCAAAUUUUUCGUGUUAUUAUAGCACUCAAGUCUCACUCUCCAAAUUAGUGAAUCGUAUACUGACAUGUAAUUGAUGUAAACAUAAUAUAAAAAUAUUAUAGUUGAUGACUUAAUAAUAAUUAAAUUAUUGCAAAUGCAAAAUUGCAACAAAAAAAAAAAGAGAGAGAAAAAGAAAAAGCAAAAUGUAAUAAGGACAUUUAAUUAGGAAGCGCUCUACGGCUUAGUUUGGUAUUGAGGCUCAUCUAACGUUAUUGGAUAAAAUAAAGUUUUGGUAAAAAUAUAUAAAGAUAUGCUUCUACGUUUUUCGGUAGAACUGUAGAAAAUAUAUUAUAAUCGAUUCAUCGUAAUAUACAUAACGCAAUAUUAUGUACUGAAACGAACAAAAUAUUUUUCAUCGUACUUUCUCACCGUACGUAAUAGAAUCUCUCUGCAAUCCCAAACGAAGUCUAAAGCAUAUGAGACUGCAAAUUGCACCGAUGGUCCUCAAAUUAUGAGAUAAGUGACACUUUAAUUCUCAAACUUUAAUUAGCUAUAAUUUUUGACUCAACUUUUUAAAAUUAUUACAAUUUAGUCCCAUAAUUUAAUUUAAUUGACUACAUAUUUACGAAUCACUAAUAUAAAAGUGAUAUGGCAUCUUAAUUGUUGAUGCGUUAGCAAUCGCAAUAUUAUUAUAUUACUUUUAUGUUGCCGAUACAUCAAUAUUUAGUCAACUAAAUUACAUUAGAAAGCUUAUUGCAAUAAUUCUAAAAGUUUGAGUUACAAAUUACGACAAACUAAUUUCUGAGACAAUUUACCCAAAACUAAAAUAAAAAGGAAAAAAGCCUCCAUUUCUUGCAGCUGGAGAGAAGCAGCCCACAAACUAUUGAAGUCAAUAUUCUGGCAUUUAUUUCAAUCCUCCAGGACCCAAAUAAUCUCUUCCGAGAUCAGGAUCCUUUAUCAUAACUUCUGCUCGCUGCAUAAUCCAACCAAUCUUGCUUGUACAAUGGAAAGAGCCACCGGCUUAUCUCUCCGGCAUCCCCCGCCCAUUUCCCAUCAAUAGUAAAGCAAGAGUAAAUCUGCAGUACGAAAAAAGGGGACUGCUAUCGACAGACUGACAAACUAGUAAAAUACUAGAAAAAAAAAGGCUUUCUACAUAAUGCAUCGCCCCUCUGCCCCUACCCUACUCCAGCUUGGUAGUUUCCGCCGCCUAAAUUGGAAUACAGGUGCUCUACCUAACGGAGUCUAAGUCACUUCUCUUUUUGUCCAACCGCGAAAGCAGGGGCCGAUGAAGCGGUCUGUUGCGGGUCGACGGCUCCUUCUCCUUCUUCAAACUCCGAUUCGUACUUCUACAAAGUGGCUAAACGCAUUUGCACUUCGCUGUCCCGGUAAUUUUAUUUCUUCGCACUUAACUAUCCAGUGGUUACUGUUUUGGCACACCGUAAAAAGGGACCUCCCUGAACCGACAUGCUCGAUCGAUAUGCUCGAAACGGUCGUGGCUCUGUUUUGUGCCCAAAUUGGUUUAUAUCCUUACAGCAUAACACAGUAGAAGCCACAGAGCAAUCAAAUGAAACAAACAAUAACACAAAGGAAGCGAAGCGCGAAUGCACUAAACCAACCACGGGGGUCGUUGGAAGAUACCCAUCAAAUGAAAGAUCGGAUGAAAGAGGCAAUCAGCAAUUGUAAUAAAUUUAUUUUUUUAGUAGCGAACAAAAUCAAGCGCAACCUCCCCCACCACCUCAUAAUUCGAAUCGGCACGAAAAGAGAAAAAAAAGGGAAUAAAAACUACAAAAAAUAGUGUGUGAAUAUUCACAUUUUCUUCCUUGAAAAACCGCUACAGAUAAGAAAAGAGCACAGCAUCCAAUUGGUAAGAUACAAAGAAGUACCCUCGGAAAUGUAAUUGAAUGUGAAUUUCGGACGCGGGAAGCGGCGGAAUGGCAGAGAGAUCAGACUCUUAUAAUAGUUUACACAACACUGAAGGUGUGGAGUUACAGUUACCGGAUUAAUGUGUCGUUAGUUCAAUCACCUUGAAGACAAUAAAGCUGGCGUAUAUUGCCAGAGGCUGCGAAGAAAAAGGGGGGUCAGAAUAAUGGAUUUAAUUAAGUUUUCUUCUCAUUUCAAACACAACUAAAUCUUAGCACGAGGUAGAAUGUCUACCGCUGUUGGGUUAAAUAACAACCACCGACAUGUUAAUAUUUAAUAUUGAAGUACACAUCUUUGUGCCGUAAUCAGUAGUUCGGCAUGAUACUAAGAAAGAACGUUUUGUUGCUCGCAAAUCAAAAACAUUAAACUUGGUCAAACCUAUCAUGCUGACCGUCAUCAACUCCAACAUACAUUCUCUUUCAUAGCGAUUACUUGCAUAAAUUUCAUGUUGCACUAAUUUUCCACUUAUUUCAAUUGCAACUAAAACUGGUGUGCAAUGCAAUGUCUACAGUUGUUGGUUAAAUAACAGUGACACAAAACAUUCAUAUUGAGUUACGCGCUUGAGUACUGUAAUUUUUAACUUGGCGUGACACUAAGAAAACAAGUUUUGCUACUCCCAAGCAGAUACAUCGUACUUGGUCAUGACUAAGUGGCGAACCAUGACCAAGUUCAGCAUACCCACUAUUUUGUAAAGUUAGUUGCAUGUAUUUCAUGCUGCAUUAUAGAGAGAAGCAUAAAGAGGAGUUAAAAGUAUUACCGUAUAACCAGUCUCUGAAAUGCACAUGAAGGGCGCAUGCUAAAUCCCUUUUCCGGUUCUCAUCAAGUUGCAGCUCCCGUAUUGUUUGUUGGAUAUCAUCCAAAAUCGCAUGCUGAAAAUAAAAUUGAUAAUAAAUACUUCAUAGCCCAGGCGAAUAGGGAAAUAAAUGUGAACUUUCGUAGGCGAAGUUUAGGCAGAAAACUUACUGAUUCUUGACAGCUUAGGAGAAACCAAAAGAAAAGAAAUGAAAGCAAGAAAAUUUGAGCACCAAUUUAAUUAAAAAAAAAAAAGUUGUUCAAGUUGAUUUCUGAAAGAAAUUUAACGACUGAAAAGAAUGAGAUUUCUACAGUGUGCAAUUCCAAAACAAUCUUCUUGGACUGCAUUCGCGAUCUAGAAUACAUACCUUUUUCUUUUGGGAUGCCCAGUAUAUUUCAGGCAAUGGAAAUGGGUUGUAUUUUGUCGGCUCUGAUGAUGAUUCAGCUCCGAACCAGCUAGGGAUCUGCAACACAGUGCAGCAGAAGAGGAGAAUUAAAAUUAGGUGACUUAAAUAUGGUCAUAUCCUUAACCUCAUGAAAUAGCAAUGAUAUAUAUGAAUACUUAAGAUAAACUAGAGUUCUUGUAAGACAAAUUUAGGCAUCUUAUUGUGAAAAUUAUGUUGACUAGGGACCGGUUACGAUGUCGGAACUAGCUAGUCACUGAGAACUACUGCAGAACCAUGAGUUUGAUUUUAGUUCAUUGCAAGGUUCUUAUGAUCAUGAUACUGUAUGAAAACUUUUCCAGCUAUGAGGUGAUUUAUCAAGCGCGGAGGCCUUAUAUGCUAUUCUCAUGCAACAUUCUUUAAAACUCCCUAUCAACCAAUUAACAUUACAGUAAACAAAAUAGAUAUGCUGAACAAGAUGUUCAUACAUCCAAAGAGGCAAAGAAAUUACUUACAUCCUAGGAAAUAAAGGAGAUGAGAUUAGAAUCAAAGAAAUUUUAUGACGAAACCAAAAGAUGACACAAGGCCUACAACCAAUAAGCAGUCAUAUAAGUAUAUGGCGCACCACGAAGUUGGUAAAUAGAUCAGGAUCAAGACUGGUGGCGGACUCGGCUUGAGCAUCGGAAACCCCUGCAGGGUGAGAUAGCGAAUCAUGAGGAUCGACCGCUCCCAAUACAAAUGGCUGGUCCCAUUUGUUGAUGGUCGGAUCCACACCAACUUGAGCCAUGUGCUCCCCCAAUUGUGCAUAGUAAGUAUUGAACGGUGCCACCUGUAAAAGUAAUAAAGCAAACUCAAUAAACCAGUGAAUAUAAAUUUGUAUUGAUUCAACAUCAUUUAAAAACAAAGUUUUAGUACUAAGAAACAUCAUUCAUAAUUAGUCACCUGAUAAGGUUAUAUAUUUACUUUUUUAGUAAUAAUAUACCACAUUGUAGCAUCGUCACUUUAAGAUUAUAGCUAUGGCUUUUCUGAACAGUCUCUUACAUAUUGCCAUUCUUAUAUCUUCAUUCCGCUUAAUGGUAUAUCAUGAGAAAAGAAAAGGAUGCUUGGAUGUCUAGCAUCCUUGGUAAAUGUUUCAUUAGGUAAUUAUGCUCUCCAACACAUUUACUACAUCAAAAGACAACUUGGGAAAUAGAAUAACAUGAACAGAAAUAAUCCAAGUGCAUAGAAGAAACAAUAAUAUGUUAGCACAAGAUAAGUUUUAUCUUCAAGCUAUUGAUGCAGCAUGUAAUACCAGAGAGGGAAUAAAUAGCGAUCAUGUAAAGUUAUAUCCAAGAAUGACGAAUAUACAAGAAACAGUACAGCUGUAGAAAGAUCCAACAUUCUUCCAACAUUCUUCCAACAUUCUUCUUUUUUAAUGUUGUUGUAAACUUUAUUUCAUGAGAAUCACUCACUUGCAGUUUAUGAUUAUCCCCCACAAUAAGAGGUUGGUGAUUUAUGCCCAAGAAAAAACAACACUCGCGGCAGUUGGCAAUACAGAUGCGUUUUGCAGCUGUGAUAAUCUGCACCCUUUCACAAUGCUCAAUUUUAACAGCCUGGAAACAUGGGAAAAAAGUUCCAUGUUAUUCAUCUAUGAUAAGUAUAAUUUUUUAUAAAAAAAAAAAAAGAGGAUAGUUGAACUACGAAGCAAAAGGAACAUAAAUAUAAUGAUAUCUACCAACAAUGUUAAUACGUCAAGCACACAAUAACCUCGCAUAAUAAGGAACAGGAUCUGACUGAUAAAAGCAUCAGAUAAGAAAAAGGAAUAUACCGACAGAACUUAUAAAGAAAACUUCAACAAAACUUCUUACAUGCUUGGAUUAUCUUACAAAUUGGUAUAUAUUAGGUAGUCCUAAGAUAUGUAAAAAGAAGAGGAAUGAAGUGAUAUAGAGCAACAACUAGAUUAUUGAAAGGUUGUUCUGAUUUCUCUUCCAUCAUCUGAACUUCCAGUUAUAAAAAUAUGUUUACUAGACCUCUAGAAGUUAACAAUAAACCACUAAUCUCCCACAUGAAUGAUGCUUAUUAUAUUAUACAUGCAAAAGAUGUGUCCUAAUUUAUAUCAACAUCAUUUUCUUAAUGAUCACCACCAAUGUAGGGUUAGGCAAUUUACUUUUCAGAAGGCUCUAUCAAAAACUAGUACAGCUUUCCAACUAGCUAUCAACCAGAUGUCAGCCCCAAAGGAACUGGCAUAGGUAGACUUAACCACUCAUAAGUGUAAGGUUAUGUGACAAAGCAGUUUAGUGCAAGAUAAAACAGCUGUAAGUUGCUGUCACAAGCAGCAACCUUUCUUUAAUUGCUCUUAAUUUGAGGUUAAAGGGGGAAAAAGAAACAAUAUAAUUCAGUGCUACAGUAACUAGUUGCCCAAAAAAGCCAGACCUGUGCAAGGAAAUCAUCACAUUAGAUUUAUAUACUAACCAUUCUAGGCAGGGCUUAAAACAGUUGCAAGUAAAAAUUUCUCCCAAACCCAAAUCUACUAUGUGCUGAAGUGAAAUAAGAUUUCGAGAUCCAAAUGCAGAAGCCCCAAUUUGAAGCUCCAAAUUGGAGCUUCUCCUUCUACUGAAAGGAGAAAUUACAGGAAGAAUUUUAACAUAGUGCAUCUUCCAAAGGCACUACUAAAAAGUCGCUUCAUUGUACAACACCGUAGCCUACGGCAAUGUCAAACAAGCCCUAGAUCUCCAACCAUUUUAUCUAGAGCGUAAAUCACUCAGUGCAAAAAGUUCUGCUAGUUUUCGACUCAAAAUAUGAACUGACCUGUAAAUCCAUUCCACAAGUUACAUUAUAUAAAAAAGGUUUAUACAAGUAUGAUAUAAAGGCAAAGAAUAUUUAUAUUCAUAAGGUACAGUUUAGUAGGAAAGUGAUGAAGUGAUGAUGAAGGGAAGUGAUGAAGAGUGGAGAUGCCUAAACAUUUUACAGGACAAACUUAGUAAUAUAUAUUCUCCUCCAUGUAAAAUAAACCAGAAAUUUCUCUGAGUUGUACGAAUGUAAAAUAUCCCAAGCAGUCCUGCGCAAAAACUGCAACUAUAAUGGUCUAAAAAAAAAGAAAUGGAAAACAACUGUCUAAGAUAAUUGUAGAACCUUUUCAUUAUCGAAAGAGAUGAAUUCAGAAAAAGGAAGAUCAUGACCUGACAAAACUGUACAUACCUUACCAAUGGCACAAAGGAUAAUAGUUGCAUCAGAACACCCAUAGACAGUAGCAUACUUCAAAGGUGCUAGUAUGUAGAUCACGGAGUCAUGGCAGUUUAAAACCUGCAAAUGUAACAAGAAAAGGUAUACUCAGUGCCAAAUACAACACAGAACUUUCAACUAUUUACAGUAAUUUAUAUGUUCUUUUCAAAAGAAUAACAUAUAGCACAAAAUAUGCUUCUAAAUGGACCAAGCAAGUACAUACAUCAGAUGGUUUACAAAUAUAGUAAGUAAAAGCCAAAAGAAUAUAAGAUACUAUGUAAGAGGAAAUUAGCCCAUCAAACUUAGCUGAAUAUAGAAUUAAUUUUUAUUUCAAUAAUUUUUAUUUCAAUCUGAGAAAAUUUAACCCAGUUUUUAAAAGGAUUGAUGUAUCACAUUAUAAUACCAACGAUGAAGGUAGUAAAAUUAUAUCAUCUUAAAAAAUUACAAAGUGAAUGUGUUCAUGAAGAAGAAAGAGCAGAAGCACCAAGUUCCCUGCCAAUUCUAGCAUCUAUGAAGUCCACUAGAACUAACAAGAGGCUUGAUGGCAUCACCUAACCUUUACAGAAUGUCCCUUAAGAUCGCCUGCCUGCUUGACCAAAGAAGCUUUAGCGAUACCCUCCACAAAGGUUUGAUUCCGUAAAUAUGCAGGAUUAUUAGGCAUAGACAUAGCUGCUGGAGAGCUACUGCUCUGGAUUCUUGUAUUACUUGCGGUCGCAUCAGCCAUAGUCACAUCCAAAUCUGAAGCACUUUGCGAGCCAUUCUCUUUAGUUGAGACCUUUUCAGUUAUAUUCUCCAAUGAAGCAGCAAUAUUUUGCAAAACCCAUUCAUGAACUUGGGCAGCAGGGACAGGAGCAGCAGGCAUGUCAGGAUCAGAAUUCGCAAAAAAAGCGGCUGCCUGACUCAAAGGAAUACCUUCAGAGAACUGAAUAAGGAAACUGAGAUGUUCAAAACUUUCCGCCGUCAAUACCUGGUUAAAAAGCAACAAUUAAGAUAGGUCCAAGCGAACAGUUGCAUCGGUCGCCUUUGAUUAAUAACAAGCAUCGGCAUGAUUUUUUCACUAGUCAUAGCAUUCAUGCGGAAUAAUGGUGUUGUGAAAUGAAAGUAGUUUAAAUGAGGGAAACAAGAAAAGAAGCAAACCCCACACAUUGGCCACAUAUUUACUAGUGUAAGAAGAAUUUAGCCAUAAACUUAAACUAUUACAUGGGACUUCUAAACCCAGACAGAUUAUUGACUAGCAUUAUCAAUUAACUAUUAUGAGACCAAUCAGCACUUCACCACAAGUUAAUCACAUGUAUAGUAUUUAAUGGAUAGCAUUGAUUGUCUGGCAUCAGAUCAAUAAGCCAUGACUUAUUUAGAAAUUAGCGCAUAAUUAGUAGAUGAAGGUGAAGAAAGGUAUAUCCAAACAAACCAGAGAAUCUUCACCCUCGCCUUCAACAGAAUCGGACAAAAGAGUAAGUAUGUUAGCCAUAUGCUUUUGCAGAUAUGAUAAUUGAUGAGCUUCUUCGUCUGCUUGUGAAGGCAUAAAACGACGGCUGUUGCUCCGGACAAGCUGCAAUCAAACAUGGGUUUGCGUCAUCAAAACAAGAAUUAUUAUCUACAAAAAUACUAUGCAACAGAUGCCACUGUCAUCAUGGUUAACCUGUGAAGAAAACAGCACAAUUUCUAUCAUAAGCUACAACUUUUAAGUGGAAUGCACUUUGCAUGACAAAAAUUACGCUUUCGAGGCAGUACUACUUAUUCGCAUCUUUUCAUAAUAAAGAGGAUGGAGGUCAUUUUAAAAAUCAGUGAGCCAAAAUGAUUUUAAACAUGUUUGACUCUGACAAUAAAACAUGAACAAGUCAAUUAAUCUACCUUAUCAGGUCACCAUGCAAAAUUACGCUGUUACUACAAGCCAGUGGACAUCAAGGAAUUAUAACAAAUGUCAAUAUUUGUCGUCCAGAAAUGCAAGAACACCAGCAGUCUCCACAGGAAGUUUCAGUUUUUAGGCUGUAAUACUGUACUCGCCAUUUGUAACAAGAUAUCUGCAUUCUCUUAUAGCAUUUGAUGCUAUCAACCUUCUCUUCCCAUACAACAAACAUAUCUCCUACGAUAUUUUUUCACUUUUCUCAUGUGCUUUUUCAUGGUGGUAGAAAUGGUUCUACAAACAUUAACACAUUGUCAUAAUUACGUCACUCUAACAUUCUCGCUUAAAAGUUGAAUUUUCUUUGCUCAAGCUCUCAAGCUGGUCGUCUUUAUGGGAGUUCAAGCCAAUUCAUCUAAAUAGCAACUUCUACAAACAAUGUGCGGAUUUUCCUGAUCUCAACAAGAUAUCUUAACUAUCAUAUUAACCAUUCAUCAAAACAAGCACUUGCAUUGACUCUCCUCACACAUGUCACAUCCAAAAUGGUUUUGAGCACUUGCAUUGACUCUCAUCACAUAUGUCACAUCCAAAAUAGGGUUUUAGUUAGAAUAAUGAAACUUUAAAAGGAAUUAAAGCAUAAGAGAGCAACUUUGUGAUAUGAUCCGGACCUGGAUCGGGGAGAGGGCGGAGAGGUAGCCGUCGAAAGCGGAGGCAUGGGGCCACACAUCGGCGACGGCGACGGAGUCCUUGUGCCCCCGGGGGACGAGGCGCUUGUAGGACUGGAUGUAGAGGAAGAGGAGGAGGUCGCGGACGUCGGCGGCGCCGGCGCCGUCGGCGAUGGCGGGGUCCGCGGCGGGGAGGACGGCGGCGAGGGUGUCGAGGGCGAGGCGGGCGUGGUCGAGCGGGAUCUGGAGCGCGUCGGCGAGCGCGGGGGCGUCGACGCGGUGGGGGUCGGGGAUCGGCCGCUGGAGGAGGCGAUCCUUGAGCGGGGCGAGGGUUAGGAUUAGGGUUCCGUCGGAGAGUACGAGCUUCGGGAUUGGGAGGAGACCGUGCUCGAAGGGCUCGCGGCGGGGCCGGAAGAGGGCGCCACCGCCUCCUCCUCCUCCGCCGCCGCCGCCCACGGCGGCGGAGGGUGGCGGCGAGGGUUCCGAGGCAUCCUCGGUCAUCGCCUCCGAGGAGAGAGAGAGAGAGAGAGAGAGAGAGAGAGAGAGAGAGAGAGUGAGGAGAAAUGAAGAGGAGAGAGAGAGAGAGAAAGAGAGAGAUCUCACGAAGAGAAAUGGGAGAGGGGAGGGAGUGGUAAAAAUGCAUGGAGACCCCUCAACUAUAGUUCUCUUCGAAAACCUUCUUAAUUUUUUUUUUGUAUUAGUAUCUUAUUUUCUUAUUUUUUUAUUUGAGUUGUUCUAGUUAGUUUUGAAGAUAUUAAAUCCAACACUUAUAUAAUUUUUUUACAUUUUGUCCCUCAAAACUUUUUUAUAAUAAUCCUAUUAAAUUUAUAUUUACAUAUAUGACUCUUUUUUUGUAACACGAGUGUUACGUAAAUAUUUUUAAAUUGAACAUGAUGAUUGAAUCACUGUAUUAAAAUAUGACGAUUGAAUCACCGUGUUCAUAUCCGCACUCUAGUUCCUCUUUUUUAAUUCAGGGACAGUAAAAAAAUAAAAAAAUAUGAAAAUUUAAUUGUCAUGUUUAAACACGGUGAUUGAACCAUUGCGUUCAACUUAAAAACUCCACUAAACACUCGUAUGGUAAGAAAAGGAUUAUUUCUGCAAAUAUUAAUUUAUUAGGACUAUUAGUAAAAAAAUAUUUUGAAGGGGCUAAAUAGAAGAAAAAUGCUCUUUUUUAGUUAGUAAUUAUUUAAUUUAUUUUAUAAAAAUUAAUAUGAUUAAAUUUCUUAAAUUAUUAAAGGGGUCUCAAUCGAAAAACACAAAGUUGGGGGGGCCGCCAUGUCAAAUUUGCCUUCGACAGGAUGACUUGUUCCGCGGAGUAAUUUCCAUUCGACACGUGGCAUGUUCUAAUAGGUUAGCUUUGUUGGAGUAAAUAAAUAGUUUGCUUGGGCUGUAGAUUUUAAUGGGCCGGGCUCAUGGAUCUCAGAUUUUAAAGUUGUGGGUAUUUUAUUGUUGGGCCUUUGUUUAUUGGGUUUUUAAGAAGCUCAUCCGACCCGGUCUCGUUUGUCGGCCGGGCCUUAGAAUUUAUACUCUGUUUGGAAUUGCAGGGAGAAUAUUUUUAUGUAGGACUGUUGACGAGUCGAAUGCAAGCGAGCUAGGGUUGGCUCGUGUUCGAUCGUUGAUUAAACAGGCUGAAUAUGAGCUGACUCGUUAAAAUAUCGAACUGAAAAACUUAGCUCAUGUUCAGCUAGUUUAUUAACGAGCCGAACAUGAGCUGGCUCGUGAAUAGUAAGUUAGAUUGCCAACCGUACUACUACUGAGUGGAACGUUCAAAGUCGAGCCUAAUCUGAGCGAGUUGAAACAUUCAGCUCGUGUUCAGCUCAUUUAUUAAACGAGCGUCUGAUCUCGAGCUCAUUUCGGGCCGAACACGAAUUGACUUACGAACAUCGAUCUAGAUUGAUGGCAUUAAUUAUAGGGAGAAUACUUUUAGGGCACGUUUGGUCCGAGUUAUAUAAAAUUAUAGAGUAUUUCGAUAUAUCCAGAUAUCUUGGAUUUCUAAAUGAGAUUACUACUGAUACUGUAUUAGCGCGUUUGGUUUAAUGCAAUAAUGUAAUGCUUGAUUGCAGUGUUUAUAGCAUUACUAUGUUUUGUUCAAUAUAUAAAAUUUAGUAAUUUUGACAAUAAAAUAUAGAGUAAACUUCAAAUACCAACCCUAUAGUUUCACACUUUCUCACUUUAGGACCAUGUGAUUUAAAGUAUAUCAAUUUAGUACCCUAUGGUUUCAUUUUUCUCUUUGCGUCAGAUUUUUUUCAUUAAAUCGGUAACAAAGUUAAAACUAAAAGGUAUUAAAGUGAAUAUUCGAUAAAUCUAUGUGGAUAUCUGAAGUUUUUUGUAUAUAAUUUAACGAAAUGUUAAUGAAAGGAGAAAAUAAAAAAUCCCAAGGUACUAACUUGAUACAUUUUAAACUACAGGAUACUAAAGUGAGUAAGUGCGAAACCACAUAAAUGGUAUUUGAAGUUUACCUAUACUUUUAUGUACUGUGAUAAAAUACAGUACUAAAAUAUUGUUUAUUUUCAUACAAAAUAUCACGUGUAUACUAUACAAUUCUUAAUUUUGUAUUAUUGGAGUAUUUUUCGUUGUAUUACGGAAACCAAUGUUAAAAUUUACCCCUUUUUUUUUUUUGAAUGUCUUUAUGGAGUAUGAAAAAACAACAAAAAUAUCUGGAUCUUUAGAUUUACUUAUCAUUUAGAUAUUUCACAAAUUUUUUAGAAAAAUGUGAACCAAAUUCACAAAUUUUAUGCAUGUUUCAAUCUCCCAUAAGUUGCAAAACCCUAGUUAAUUGUGAUAAAAAAAAAAUCAAUUACAAUAUACAAGGUGUAAAUUAUGUAAAGCAAGCAAUUAGUAUAGGAUUUGAAAAAAAAAUAAAUAAAUUGCCACAUGAGUAUUGUAACUUAUGAAUUUAACUAUAUAUCCAAAAUAUUUUUCAUAUUUUUAAUGGCUCCCCUUGUGCUACAUAUCAUUUUCAUGCCUUUUCCAAUGAACUAUUUAGAGGAGUGGGUGAGAGUUUAUAUACAAUAUCUUAGUCCAUAAACUAUAAACUAAUUUGUUUUAUUGUUGAGCUAUUGAUACACCUAAUCCAUUUUUAGCAAUAUAAUAUAAAUCAAUUCCAAUUGAGAUGAGUAAUUUUUUAUUUGCUAAGCAACAAGGACAAGAGGGAUUAGUUUGUUAAAGUUUGUUCCCUAACAAUUUGCUUCUUAAAUGGCUUAAACAAAGGGGGAAUAAAAAAAAAAUUAAUGAAAAUGACACAUAUAUAGAAUUUAUUGAAAGAGGGGUUGAAAUUGUGAUGUUGGCUCUUUAGAUUUCUUUUUUUUUUUUCUCCAAUUUAUUGCAAUUAGAGUCAAUGUGUCGAACGCAUUCCUCGACCGUUCCCUAAUAAAUUAGCUUAGUAGGUGUUUGGCCUAGAUUUUGAGAAAUGACUUUAGAGCGAAAAGUGAUUUUUCCUUUUCAUUUAAUAGAGCGUUUGGGCAAUAUUUUUUUCACAAUCUGAUUUUGAUUUUUAGAAUCAGUGUUUUGAUUUUCAAGACUCAAAAUCAGAAGCAACUAAAAACCUGCUUUUUAAAAUCUAAUUCUGAUUUUGGGCUUAAAUUUUAAAUUUUAAUUUUAAUUUUGGAUUCGAAUUUUAAAUUUAAAUUCAAACUUCAAAUUUUAAUUGCAAAUUAUUGAUUUUAAAUUUUAAACUUUAUAUUUAAAUUUUGUGUUUAAAUUUUGUGUUUAAAUUUUAACUCAUGAAUUUUUAGUUUCAAAUUUUAAAAUUUUGAAUUUAGAUAUUAAAUUUUAAAUCUCAAAUCUCAUAUCUCAAAUUUUAAAAUUUAAAAUUUAAAAUUUAAAAUUCAAAAUUCAAAUUUAAAACAAAACUUAAAUUUUAAAAUUUAAAACUUUUCAAAUCAAGCACUUUAUAGCUUUUAACUAAAAUUAAUUCUCCAAAUCAAAACUAUUUCUGUAAAAACCACUUCUCCAAAAUAGCUAGACCAAAACGAGCCCUUAUUCUCAAUCUUAAUUAGCAUAAUAUCAGAGCGAGCAUAUCAGAUACUAGUUAUAUCAUAAAAUUCCUUCCUUUUUUUUUUUCAAUAUCAUUACCAAGUCAAUUCAAUGUUAAUUACACAUCUUUUC
rnacentral:lncRNA from 1 species